GGAUUGUUUUUUUUUUUGUGGAGUGUCACGAACAAAAUGAGCCCACGUAUGGCUGGAUUUGAUUUGUUUUGGAGGUCCAAAAUACCCGGACAAGGUAAGAACAGAAAAUUAUGAAUUCUAAGAUGAUGACAAAUUAUUAGUUAAUGGCAUUUGUAGUGGAUGGUUGGCUUAGAUUGGAGUUGACGGUCAUUUUCUUUGAGAUUGCCUGAUUCUAAAGAGGUACAACAUGCAGGUAUUGGUUUAAAUAUGAAUGUGCAAUAGUGGGCAUUACGCUGAAAAAUCUGAUUUGAUGCAGCAUUAUACAUAGUGU